CAGCCGCCACGGUAAUACGGAGGGUGCGAGCGUUAAUCGGAAUUACUGGGCGUAAAGAGUGCGUAGGUGGUUAAUUAGGUUAUCUGUGAAAUUCCUGGGCUUAACCUGGGCAGGUCAGAUAAUACUGGUUAACUCGAGUAUGGGAGAGGGUAGUGGAAUUUCCGGUGUAGCGGUGAAAUGCGUAGAGAUCGGAAGGAACACCAGUGGCGAAGGCGGCUACCUGGCCUAAUACUGACACUGAGGCACGAAAGCGUGGGGAGCAAACAGGAUUAGAUACCCCAGUAGUCCCUGUCUCUUAUAC
rnacentral:rRNA from 1 species